rnacentral:rRNA from 1 species
UCUCCUGGAAAACGGGUGGUAAUGCCGGAUGCUCCAGUUGAUCGCAUGGUCUUCUGGGAAAGCCUUUGCGGCAUGGGAUGGGGUCGCGUCCUAUCAGCUUGAUGGCGGGGUAACGGCCCACCAUGGCUUCGACGGGUAGCCGGCCUGAGAGGGCGACCGGCCACAUUGGGACUGAGAUACGGCCCAGACUCCUACGGGAGGCAGCAGUGGGGAAUAUUGCACAAUGGGCGCAAGCCUGAUGCAGCGACGCCGCGUGAGGGAUGGAGGCCUUCGGGUUGUAAACCUCUUUUGUUAGGGAGCAAGGCAUUUUGUGUUGAGUGUACCUUUCGAAUAAGCACCGGCUAACUACGUGCCAGCAGCCGCGGUAAUACGUAGGGUGCAAGCGUUAUCCGGAAUUAUUGGGCGUAAAGGGCUCGUAGGCGGUUCGUCGCGUCCGGUGUGAAAGUCCAUCGCUUAACGGUGGAUCCGCGCCGGGUACGGGCGGGCUUGAGUGCGGUAGGGGAGACUGGAAUUCCCGGUGUAACGGUGGAAUGUGUAGAUA